UGACGUUGGGAAAGCGAGCGGCGGAUGGGUGAGUAACACGUGGGGAACCUGCCCCUAAGUCUGGGAUACCAUUUGGAAACAGGUGCUAAUACCGGAUAAUAAAGCAGAUCGCAUGAUCAGCUUUUGAAAGGCGGCGUAAGCUGUCGCUAAGGGAUGGCCCCGCGGUGCAUUAGCUAGUUGGUAAGGUAACGGCUUACCAAGGCGACGAUGCAUAGCCGAGUUGAGAGACUGAUCGGCCACAUUGGGACUGAGACACGGCCCAAACUCCUACGGGAGGCAGCAGUAGGGAAUCUUCCACAAUGGACGCAAGUCUGAUGGAGCAACGCCGCGUGAGUGAAGAAGGUUUUCGGAUCGUAAAGCUCUGUUGUUGGUGAAGAAGGAUAGAGGUAGUAACUGGCCUUUAUUUGACGGUAAUCAACCAGAAAGUCACGGCUAACUACGUGCCAGCAGCCGCGGUAAUACGUAGGUGGCAAGCGUUGUCCGGAUUUAUUGGGCGUAAAGCGAGCGCAGGCGGAAAAAUAAGUCUAAUGUGAAAGCCCUCGGCUUAACCGAGGAACUGCAUCGGAAACUGUUUUUCUUGAGUGCAGAAGAGGAGAGUGGAACUCCAUGUGUAGCGGUGGAAUGCGUAGAUAUAUGGAAGAACACCAGUGGCGAAGGCGGCUCUCUGGUCUGCAACUGACGCUGAGGCUCGAAAGCAUGGGUAGCGAACAGGAUUAGAUACCCUGGUAGUCCAUGCCGUAAACGAUGAGUGCUAAGUGUUGGGAGGUUUCCGCCUCUCAGUGCUGCAGCUAACGCAUUAAGC
rnacentral:rRNA from 1 species